UAAUACGUAGGUGGCAAGCGUUGUCCGGAUUUAUUGGGUUUAAAGGGUGCGUAGGCGGUUGAUUAAGUCAGUUGUGAAAUACGGCAGCUUAACUGUCGAGGUGCAAUUGAUACUGGUUGACUUGAGUACAGACGAGGUAGGCGGAAUUGACGGUGUAGCGGUGAAAUGCAUAGAUAUCGUCAAGAACACCGAUAGCGAAGGCAGCUUACUAGACUGUAACUGACGCUGAGGCACGAAAGUGUGGGGAUCAAACAGGAUUAGAUACCCUGGUAGUCCACAC
rnacentral:rRNA from 1 species